rnacentral:rRNA from 1 species
AGAGUUUGAUUCUGGCUCAGAACGAACGCUGGCAGCGUGGAUGAGGCAUGCAAGUCGAACGAGAAUCGGGGCGCCCGCAAGGGUGAACCGAGGAGAGUGGCGCAAGGGUGAGUAACGCGUGGGUAAUCUGCCCUCAAGUUGAGGAUAACCCGCCGAAAGGCGGGCUAAUACUGAAUGUGAUCGCUCCGGGCAUCCGGAGCUGUUUAAAGGUGGGGACCCGCAAGGGCCUGUCGCUUAAGGAGGAGCCCGCGUCCUAUCAGCUUGUUGGUGAGGUGACGGCUCACCAAGGCUUACGGGUAGCUGGUCUGAGAGGAUGGUCAGCCACACUGGGACUGAGACACUGCCCAGACUCCUACGGGAGGCUGCAGUCGAGGAUCAUUUGCAAUGGGCGCAAGCCUGACAAUGCGACGCUGCGUGGAGGAUGAAGGCUUUCGGGUUGUAAACUCCUGUCGUUUGGGAACAAUAUCGGGUGGGUGAACAGCCCAUCCGGUUGAUGGUACCAGAAGAGGAAGUCACGGCUAACUCUGUGCCAGCAGCCGCGGUGAUACAGAGGUGGCAAGCGUUGUUCGGAUUUACUGGGCGUAAAGGAUGCGUAGGCGGCGUGGUGUGUCGGGUGUGAAAUCUCACCGCUCAACGGUGAAACGGCAUUCGAAACUACCAAGCUAGAGUACGGGAGAGGAGAGUGGAACUCUUGGUGUAGCGGUGAAAUGCGUAGAUAUCAAGAAGAACACCGGUAGCGAAGGCGACUCUCUAGACCGAUACUGACGCUGAGGCAUGAAAGUUGGGGGAGCAGACAGGAUUAGAUACCCUGGUAGUCCCAACCAUAAACGGUGUACACUUGGUGUGGGGGGAAUUGACCCCCUCCGUGCCGGAGCUAACGCGUUAAGUGUACCGCCUGGGGAGUACGGCCGCAAGGUUAAAACUCAAAGAAAUUGACGGGGGCCCGCACAAGCGGAGGAGCAUGUGGCUCAAUUCGAUGCAACGCGAAGAACCUUACCAGGGUUUGGCAUGCAACUGCACGUCCCAUGAAAGUGGGAUUCCUUCGAGGGUGUUGCACAGGUGCUGCAUGGCUGUCGUCAGUUCGUGCCGUGAGGUGUUGGGUUAAGUCACGCAACGAACGCAACCCUUGUGUUUAGUUGCCACCGGCGGUGAUGAAUCGCCGAGCACUCUAGACAGACUGCCCGUAUCAAACGGGAGGAAGGUGGGGAUGACGUCAAGUCAGUAUGGCCUUUAUACCCUGGGCUGCACACGUGCUACAAUGGCCGGUACAAAGGGACGCAAUACCGCGAGGUGGAGCAAAUCCCCAAAAACCGGCCCCAGUUCAGAUUGGAGUCUGCAAUUCGACUCCAUGAAGUUGGAUUCGCUAGUAAUGGCGCAUCAGCUACGGCGCCGUGAAUACGUUCCCGGGCCUUGUACACACCGCCCGUCACAUCAUGAGAACUGUCUGCACCAGAUGUCGCUGAUCCAACCCGCAAGGGGGGAAGGUGCCAAAGGUGUGGGGAGCGAUUGGGAUGAAGUCGUAACAAGGUA